rnacentral:rRNA from 1 species
GACGAACGCUGGCGGCGUGCUUAACACAUGCAAGUCGAACGGAAAGGCCCUGCUUUUGUGGGGUGCUCGAGUGGCGAACGGGUGAGUAACACGUGAGUAACCUGCCCUUGACUUUGGGAUAACUUCAGGAAACUGGGGCUAAUACCGGAUAGGAGCUCCUGCUGCAUGGUGGGGGUUGGAAAGUUUCGGCGGUUGGGGAUGGACUCGCGGCUUAUCAGCUUGUUGGUGGGGUAGUGGCUUACCAAGGCUUUGACGGGUAGCCGGCCUGAGAGGGUGACCGGCCACAUUGGGACUGAGAUACGGCGCAGAAUCCUACGGGAGGCAGCAGUGGGGAAUAUUGCACAAUGGGCGGAAGCCUGAUGCAGCAACGCCGCGUGCGGGAUGACGGCCUUCGGGUUGUAACCCGCUUUCGCCUGUGACGAAGCGUGCGUGACGGUAAUGGGUAAAGAAGCACCGGCUAACUACGUG